UUCCCUUUGUCAUCCUUUGCCUAGGGCUCUGAUAGGGCAGGGACUGCAAAGGGGUAC
rnacentral:pre_miRNA from 1 species